rnacentral:tRNA from 1 species
AAUAAGAAAGCAGUGCCUCUGUUUUUAGUUUCGACCUAAAAUAAAGUAAAUUUUACUCUUAUUA